rnacentral:piRNA from 1 species
UUUGCUAACUCCCCUUCUCUCCAAG